GGUAGGUGUGGUGAAUCGUUCAGACGAGGCAGGCUUUGUGAGUGUGACCCAGGCUGUGUCCGCUACGACACCUGUUGCCGUGACUACCAGAACCACUGUGAUGCCACUACAACUCCACCACCAACUCAGAGGAUCAAGCCGGAUGCCAAGAAAAAGCCAACAGUGCCUCCCAAGAACAAACCCAUCAGCGAGACAGAAUUUAAGAGUCUCAAAUCUCCCAAGAAACCUUCAAACAGCGAGAGUGAGGAAAGCAGCCAAGACCAGAGCCAGACCAUAUACCCUUCUCCAUCCGACCUCUUCCCUGAGACUCAGGACUAUGAUACCAACGGCUCUUACCCUGGAUCUAGCAGCCCUAAGAGCCAGAGUGACUAUUCUCGUUUCUCUGAGGACCCAGCUCUCCCUUUGAGCCCUGACUUCUACCCUCUGACUGACAGCUUCAAUGUUCCCAGCUCCACCACCCCAGCUACUG